rnacentral:lncRNA from 7 species
CUCAUUAAAAUCAUCGGCUGGCUUUGCUUUGCAUGGUUUGUCAGGGUCUAACUCAGUGUCUCUUUUCCUGAUAAGCAAGGUAUGUUAGAAUUUUUUUUUUAUCAUAAUGGAUCCAAGAUAAUAAAGAUGUGUUACGUUUGAGAGCUCACCCACAACAUAAUCUGCUUUAAAAUGAAAAUUUUCUAAGCCAUGCUAACUCUUAUAUUAUAAAUUCCAGGUGGACUGUUUAUGAAGCUAAUGUACUAAAAAUUUAAAAAAUAUCUGCAUAUGUUUAGUUGGAUAUUUAAUAACAGAACAUUUACAGUAUGGUGCCACUUCAGUAUGAACAUUACUCUCAACAACGAAAUUGAACAUUGAUCAUGAUUUUAAGCUUCAUAAACUAAUUAUAGAU